rnacentral:rRNA from 1 species
AACUUCUUCAUUUUAUGGAGAGUUUGAUCCUGGCUCAGGACGAACGCUGGCGGCGUGCCUAAUACAUGCAAGUCGAGCGCGUGAAGCAACAUGAUCCCUUCGGGGUAAUUGUUGUGGAUCGA